GCCCGAGUGGUGAAAUUGGUAGACACAAGGGAUUUAAAAUCCCUCGACGUUCGCGUCGUGCCGGUUCGAUGCCGGCCUCGGGCACCA
rnacentral:tRNA from 1 species